rnacentral:rRNA from 1 species
AACGAACGCUGGCGGCAUGCCUAACACAUGCAAGUCGAACGCCUGUAGCAAUACAGGAGUGGCGCACGGGUGAGUAACGCGUGGGAACCUGCCCUGGAGUGGGGGAUAACCGAGAGAAAUUUCGGCUAAUACCGCAUACGUCCUGAGGGAGAAAGAUUUAUCGCUCUAGGAGGGGCCCGCGUCGGAUUAGCUAGUUGGUGGGUAACGGCCUACCAAGGCAACGAUCCGUAGCUGGCUGAGAGGAUGAUCAGCCACACUGGGACUGAGACACGGCCCAGACUCCUACGGGAGGCAGCAGUGGGAAUAUUGGACAACGGGGGAAACCCUGAUCCAGCAAUGCCGCGUGAGUGAUGAAGG